rnacentral:lncRNA from 1 species
AGACAGACUCGCUUACAGUUAGGUGAAACAUGAGCUCAAGUUCUAUACUGAAAUGUGAGCAGAAGGUCUGCCAUUACUGGGCUGGGGUUCUUAAAAGAGUAGCCAUGCCUCCUCCAUGUUCUUCUUCUCUUUCUGCUAGAGAAAAAGGAAUCCAGCAGUUCUAAAGUAACCCUGGGAGCUCCCUGCUGAAGACGGCAGAACUUCUGCCAGCCAGGUUUUCAAAUGUCUGCAUACAGAAGAGAUACCUGCAACAAGGAUCUUGCCUCAGACUGAUGUACGAGUUAAGGAAUGUGCUUAUACUACAUGAUCUAGGAUGUUGGGAAGGAACAAAGAAAUUCAGGCAUCUCUCCUGAGAAGAGAAAGGGAGUAGAAUGCUCCAUCAUGAUGCUAACCACAAGAAUUGACUUGACGGGACAGAAUCAAGGGGAAGAACGUCAGUGAAACUUCUGGUGACAAUCACCCACUUAGGUCUUUAUUUUCCAUUUUUGCAUUUGUCAUACUUUUCAUAGUAAUGAAAACAAAUAUGUUGUGUAUAAUACUGGAUGUCAGCCUAUACAUUUGGUUUUUAAAUUUGGGGAAGGAAACUUCUUUCCACUCGAUUGAGCAGUUUCAUCUUUGCAAUGUAUUUAUUCUUUCUGAACUUUUGGGUAGUGUCCUCGUAUUAGUCUGUUUUCAUGCUGUUGAUAAAGACAUACCCAAGACUGGGUAAUUUAUACAGAAAAAGAGGUUUAAUGGGCUCACAGUUCCACAUGGCUGGGGAAGCCUCACAAUCAUGG